CCUACGGGAGGCAGCAGUAGGGAAUAUUGCUCAAUGGGGGAAACCCUGAAGCAGCAACGCCGCGUGGAGGAUGAAGGUUUUCGGAGUGGAAACUCCUUUUGAUAGAGAAGAAAAUGACGGUAGGUAAGGAAUAAGCACCGGCUAACUCCGUGCCAGCAGCCGCGGUAAGACGGAGGGUGCAAGCGUUACUCGGAAUCACUGGGCGUAAAGAGCGCGUAGGGGGGAUCGCUAGUCAGAUGUGCAAUCCUAUGGCUUAACCAUAGAACUGCAUUUGAAACUGUUAUUCUAGAGUAUGGUUGAGGUCGGUGGAAUUCUUGGUGUAGCGGUCAAAUCCUUAGAUAU
rnacentral:rRNA from 1 species